UAGACCAGGCUGGCCUUGAACUCACAGAGAUCUACCUGCCUCUGCCUCCCAAGUGCUGGGAUUAAAGGUGUGCGCCAACAACACCUGGCUUUCUUUCUCUUUGUGUUUUGAUUUUAAUUUUGUUUUAUGUGUAUGUGUGCUUCUUCUGCAGAUCUGUGCACCGCAUAUGUGUUGUGCCCUCAGAGGCCAGAAGAGAGAACUGGAUCUGCUGGGACUAGAGCAACAUGGUUGUUAGCCACCAGAUGGGUGUGAGUUCUCUGAAAGAGCAGCAAGUGGGUGUAACUGCUGAGCCAUCUCACCAACCCUGGGUCAUACCUAGACCCCAGCCCACGUGUCCUGGACUGACGGGUUAACCCUGCACCGGGCUGCCUGAGGAGGCCAGUCCAGCCUCUCUACAGCCUCCUCACAGCUGCCACAGGGGCGACAGUAACUCCUCCGAAGCAGCAAGAACCUCCUGCAGAGUCAGCCUGUGUGAGCUGGCAACAGGAAUCCCAGCUGCCUACUUUCUCUGAUCCUCGUUCUCACUGGUUUGGUUCGGCCCCAGAUCUUCCAGAAAACCUGCCUGAUAAGAAGGGCCCAGGGAGCGCCGGUCUCCUCAAGGGGAGGACAGGGGGCCCUGGUGGUGGCCGUUCAAGAGUCCAGUACCACUUCUCUCAAGUAUCCUCAGGGAGAUCCAAAUUGGGAAAGAAGACAGCUCAGGUUGGGCUGCGGAUAAACCAUCUUUUCAGGAGGCCAUCGAAGAAGUGAGCUUCACCCACUAGUCAGUGAACUGGAGAAAAUGUGGACAUCACAAUAAAUGAUGAUGGCUCGGGUGAGGGAUGAAGAGCGGUUGCCUACCAUAUGCAAGAGCCCUAGGUUCUACCUCAGCACCAUGUAAACUGUGUGGCGGUGCACGUCUGUAACUCCAGCUCUUGGGAGGUCUCGCUGCGUAGUCUUAGCUGACCUAGAGCUUGCAACGUAGACUAAACUGGCCUUGAACUCACAGAGAGCCACCUGCCCCUGCCACCCACGUGUUGGGCCUAAAGGAUGUGGUACCACGCCCCGUGACACGUUAUUCUAAAGAAGACUCUUCUGGAGACUGAAUUUAGGGGCCUCCUGCAUUCAAAGAAAGCACUCUACGCCAAACUACAUCCCCAGCCCUGAAAUGAUCUGAGUUCAAAUCCCAGUUCUCUUCUUCCCAGAAAUCUUAGGACAUGCUACCUAAUAUCUCCAUGCCUCAGUCUCCUCAUCUGGAACACAGGGGUGAAAUAAAACAUACACAAAGUCACCGAAAGACCGACGAGUUGUGAAGCCUUUGUACAGGCUGUGAACAUGACUUGGUUACCCAAGGAGCUGUGGAAUCUCUCUUUUCUUCUUCCACAAGGUCUGCUGUCCCCAGCAGUCUACAGGCCUGGUUUAAUCACCAUAAGCUUCACGUGAUGGAGAAAAAUAAACUUACAUCAAAGUUUCUGCUUCAGUCCAGGAGAAAACAGCUGUCGGCACACCUUCAGUGUCAAGGAAAUAGGGUGGUGCUUGGGCAAGGAGUGAGGAAGAGGAUCGCACCCCAACUUCUGUAAGCAUGCUUCACCCUGAACAACACCCUGACAUGGAUACUCUUAUUGCCAGUUGGAGUGAUAAACUUAGGCAUGCCAGGGUCAGAGGACAGCUUGCAGGAGAUGGUUCUCUCAAUCAUCUGGGGCCGGGAGAGCAAACCCAGAUCACCUGACUUGAAUGGUAAAUGCCUUUACCCACUGAGCCAUCUCACCAGUUCAAAGGUUGAUUGCAUAUUGUGAAUUUACCCUGUUACCAUGAUGCUGCGUUAUCUUAUGAUAUUCCUAGAUUUCCUAUUAUUUUUGCUACCAUAUACAUAUGUUUGGUAGAAUGUCACAUAUAAAUGUACACGUUUUAUACCAUAUAUACUCUGGAAAUAUAUAUCUGAGAGAUAUUUCAGUUUCCAAAAGCACAUAACAUUUCCCCAAGGAUAUCUUUUCAGACAUGCCCAUGACCCAUCUUCUUUCCCACUCAGCUGCAAGAAUCGCAGAGUUCGGCCAAGCCCCUGCUAUCUGCUUUCACUAAGUCUCUGCCAGCCAACUGCUGGCCGCAAAAGGGUAUAUCUUAAAGAGAUGGGAGUUAGGAAAGAUUCAAGUUUACUCAAAACCCACAAGCUUGGGA